UACAGAGGGGGCGAGCGUUGUUCGGAAUUACUGGGCGUAAAGAGCGCGUAGGCGGUCUAUUAAGUGUGAAGUGAAAUCUCCAGGGCUCAACCCGGAAACUGCUUCGCAUACUGAUAGACUUGAGGAAUGCAGAGGUUUGUGGAAUUCCUGGUGUAACGGUGAAAUGUGUUGAUAUCAGGAGGAACACCCAUGGCGAAGGCAGCAAACUGGGCAUUAUCUGACGCUGAGGCGCGAAAGCAUGGGGAGCGAACAGG
rnacentral:rRNA from 1 species